ensembl:lncRNA
CUGUGUCUGGCCAUGGAGUGGGGCUCCGUUGCUCUGCUGGCUCCUGGGAGGCUGUGGGUCCUCUCGUCCUGAUGGUGAACCUGGGUCUGUGGGUCUGUGGUCUGAAGGCUGAAGUUGCAGCCUGACCUAUGAACAGACACCAGAAAAACCUGAAGACGUUAAAAUGGACGAAACUCCACCGGAUUUCCAUCCUCACUUCUCAUUUUCACAGGAGCUGUGUGUGUUCCUGGUUUUCGGAGCGCUGUAGCUUUGCUGUUCUUCAAGUGCAGUGUAGAGGAUGCAAGGCUUGCUGAAAUGAAGCUGUUUCUGUGGAGGAAUACCGCAGCUGAAGGAAUGACGUGGAAAACCCUUCCCAAAGACCAGAGGUGGAGAUGCUCACCUGGAUGGGAGGGGAGGAUGUUGGCAGUAGGAGCGGAGUGGAGCCAAGGAGGAGGGAUGCUGAAAUGCAGGAGCUGUUGCUCUGAGCUGCAGAGAUGCUGUACCGAAGCUCUGACAUGCUGAGCCCUGUCCAAUUCCUCCAAAGCACGCUGUUCCAUGUACCUUUGAGAUGCCAGCUCCUCCAGGGUGAGGUGGGCUGUGCAGCAGAGCUGUCCCCGCUCACACUGUAAUCCUCAGCCCUCAGCUGUCAGCGUCUCGGAUGAGUUCUUGGAGGGUAUCCAGACAAACACAGGAGAGAUUUCAACUGCUGCGAUCCCCUGUCCUAUUUUAUCUCAUUUCUGACAGCCCAUGUCUGCUGAGGCUGGGAAGUGUACUGAUGCACUGUCUCUUGCCUUCUGGACCAGCUGCAUCUUCAGGACAACGUCCCAGAUGGCUCUUUUAGGGAAAGAAAUCAGAGACUGAUUGGUGGCCAAAAAAAGUCUCUCAUCCAGUAUCAAAGCUUUAGCUGCACCUUAUGCUUCCCAAGGACGGCUUGGAAAGGGCACAGUGGAGCUGCUGCUGAUCCUCUUGCACCGGGCUCAGGGUGAGUGAGUCUGCACAGGACCUGUGAUGGGAUCCUUGCCCUGGUGAGGCUGGAGGAGCUGCUGCAGCCUUUCAGGCAGGGCUGGCCCUGCUGUGGUCUCCCAUGCCAAGCCCAGGCUGCUAAUAAGCAGUUGUUCUAAACAGUGGAUUUCACCAUCUCCUCCAGUUGAGCUUGAUCUAUCGUGCCUGUCUGUAGGCAGAGGCAGCAUUCAGCGCUCCCAGGAACGGGUGGGUGUUCAGGCUGGAUUUCUUGGCCAUCUGGCAUGCUGCUGGGCCAUUUGUUACCCAGGCCCUUGCUGGGGCCUUGCUCUGAUGCUGCAGAGAACUCUGUACUGGAGGGAGAUUCAGCCUAAUUUCUGGGAGCUUGCUGGCAGCCGAGGAAGGAGCGGUGUGGGUGGGAGCCCUGGCUUUCCAAUUGCCUAAAAACUGAAUUUGGACCGCUGCCUGCCUGUUGGGAAUGGGAGAGAGGAGGCAUUGCUCUGGUCCAGGUAUUGGCAGAGAAACAUGACCUGCUUGUGCCCAGGCUGAGCAUGCCAGAAUGCUCCUGCCUUCCCUCCUGGUGCAUCUGGUGGUGCCUCCUGACAUGGGGACUGGGUUGUGAGGGAUGGCUUCUCUCUGUGCCUGCCCUGUGGAGCAAGAAUCCAGCCCGGAGCAUCGCCUGGCCUUUGUGGGGCCGAUGUUCAGCAGCUCCAGAAAUUGAAAUGCAAAUGAAACAGAGAGCUGAGGGGCGAAGGAGCUGCUGGCUUUUUCAAUGCUGACCUCCACUGUUGAGAGGAGAAUUGUAUUCUGGGUGUGUUGCUCGUGUUCUUCUUCCUGCCCUUAGCCAGGGCCACGCACUGCCGUGAUAAAGGAAUGUAAUUUCCUCUGCUCGUGUCAAGACCUUAUGUAUUUCCGUAAAGCAAAGGGGGAGGGGACAGCCCAUGCCUUAGAGAGUCCCUGCAGUCACUGCACAGCACACUAACCCUGGCGGCCCUCAGGGAAGGCAGGCUGGCCAGGAGCAGGAGCACUGCCCAACUGCUGGGGAGCUGCACGAGAGCACGAGUCCCUUCCUCCAGCUUUUCUGCUGCUGGGCAUACGGACGGAUGGGGAAGCAGCUUUCAGUGAUACAGAUGACCCCUGCUUCAGGAUGGAAGGAAGUGCCCUUGCUCCUUAUUUAAGGUGAAGGGAAGCCAACCAUCUGUUCAUGCGGGUGGCUGUGCUCUCCACGUGCGGGCUCUGCUGGGGCUGCAGGUGGCACAUGGAGCUGGCUCAGGGGAUGCUGCCCCAUCCUGCCAGGUCUGUGAGGUGAGCCAAAGGCAUUCAGGGGGGGUCUGUUGUGGCCAAGCCCUGCCCUGUGUUCACUCCCUGCGAGCGAAGUCAGGGAGGGUGCAGCAAAGCCAGGAAACCCCCCGUGCUCUUAGGAAAAGGCACUGUCUGGAAACCAUCCCACGUGCUGGAGAAGCCUGGCUUUCUGACAGAAGCACGCUUGAGAUAAAGUGCUUUUGUUGGCUUGUUAGAUCUAUUAUUCAUGCCUUUAUGUACAUAGCAGACCUACAGAGACCGGCCGUGGCCUCCAGCCCAGCCCUCAGCGCAAAGGGGACAGCGGAGAUGUGUCCCUGGCAGCAGCAGCAGCGAGCGGCUCCUCACCCCCCAUCUCGGCACUAAUCCCAUUCAGCCUCCGUCCUCCGCUUCCCCCCGCUGAGGCUGCGGGUGUGAG